AGUCAAUAGAUACCCGGGUAGUCCUGGCAGUAAACGGUGCGCGUUUUGGUGUGGGGGGAGUUCGACCCCUUCCUGUGCCGGAGCUAAACGCGUUAAAAACGACGCCGCCUGGGGAGGUACGGUCGCAAGAUUAAAACUACAAAGAAAAUUGACGGGGGCCCGGCACAAGCGGUGGAGUAUGUGGCUUAAUUCGAUGCAACGCGAAGAACCUUACCUAGCCUUGACAUGCAUCUCUAAGUCGGUGAAAACCGGCGACCAUAGCAAUAUGGAAUUUGCACAGGUGCUGCAUGGCUGUCGUCAGCUCGUGUCGUGAGAUGUUGGGUUAAAGUCCCGCAACGAGCGCAACCCCUGUGAACUGUUGCCACCACACUACGGUGUGAGCACUCUGUUCAGACUGCCCUGUGAAACGGGGAGAAGGUGGGGAUGACGUCAAGUCAGCAUGGCCCUUACGGGCUAGGGCUGCACACGUACUACAAUGCUCAGUACAGAACGAACCGAAACCGCGAGGUGGAGGAAAUCCCGAAAACUGAGCUCAAUUCGGAUUGGA
rnacentral:rRNA from 1 species